AUAAGAUAAUCCAAAACAUAGCAGUACCAAACAGUGGAUAGUGAUAGUGUGACUAGUUGCUGACGAUCCCCGAGCCUGUAGCUUCGCAAUGAGAUCUAUAAAACAGAGGAAACAGAGUAAACGGAGUAAGCAUUACAAUGCUUAGUAAGUUUUAAGCAGUGUCAACAGAUAACAAUCAAAUUAUAACAUAGUUGUUCGUAUUUUUAUUUCACUCUUCCUUUGGGCAUACCAUCCCUUUAACGAAUAUGCACAUCUCAUCAUAUACAAUAUGCAGAUAAACUUUCACAUAAAAGUGAGCACAUGUGACAUAGAUAUAUCGUAUGAUUUCACAUCGCCUCUCACACUGAUCCGAUGUCACAUAAUCAUAGCAAUAGUCUCAUAGAUUGCUCUCGUAUGCAUCACAUAACUACCUUAUGAUUUAGUGCAAAUCAAGCUCACAUAUAAACUUGGAGUACAUACCUGUUUAACCUUUCGCAUUGAAUAUAUUUAUAAGCAAUUCUUAUUACGAAGUCUUACCCGGACAUAAUCUCCACACGAAGUUAUCGGGUCUUACCCGGACAAAAUUCCCACACGUAGUCAUCGAGUCUUUAGAGCUCGGAUAUAGUACGAGCACAAAGCUUACGGACAUUAAUCAGUGAUAAUAUUCUCGCAUAAAGCCUGCGGGGUUUUAACCUGGAUAUAGUACUGACACAAAUGCCCUUUGGGACUUAUCACAUUUAUGCACUUUCACAUCCAUCACGUUGGCCACUCGGCCCUGUCAUAUAUAUACACUUUCACAUUCAUCACAUCGGCCAUUAGGCCUUAUCACAUAUAUACACUUUCACAUUCAUCACAUCGGCCAUUAGGCCUUAUUACAUAUAUACACUUUCACAUUCAUCACAUCGGCUAUUAGGCCUUAUCACAUAUAUACACUUUCACAUUCAUCACAUCGGCUAUUAGGCCUUAUCACAUAUAUACACUCUCACAUUCAUCACAUCGGCUAUUAGGCCUUAUCACACAUAUACACUUUCACAUUCAUCACAUGGCUAUUAGGCCUUAUCACACAUAUACAAUUUCACAUUCAUCACAUCGGCCAUUAGGCCUUAUCACAUAUAUACACUUUCACAUUCAUCACAUCGGCUAUUAGGCCUUAUCACAUAUAUACACUUUCACAUUCAUCACAUCGGCCAUUAGGCCUUAUCACAUAUAUACACUUUCACAUUCAUCACAUCGGCCAUUAGGCCUUAUCACAUAUAUACACUGUCUUGGCUGAAUCUACAUCUAUCAUUUUCCAAUAUCACAAUUUAGAAUUCACGUAUGGGUUUAAUCAAUAGCUUAUGAGCAACUAGAACAAGUUUAUCAAGGUUUACAACACAAUCUCAAAUUCAGCACAAGCUGUUUUUCCUGAGCAAUAGUCACUAAAUCAUUUAUAACUGGAGCUACAAAACUCCAAAUCACUUUCCGUUAAUUUUUCCUGAAUAUAGACUCGUAUAGAUUCCAUUCAUAAAAUUUCCAGAAUUUUAGGUUUGGCCAAUCAAUACCAGAUUUUUCUUAAAGUUUCCCCUGUUUCACUGUUUGACUAAUCUGACCACUCUUCACUACGAAUCAGAUUUCUCAUUUUACAGAAUUCAAAAUGUGUUUUAUUUGAUUUCAUUUGAAACUAGACUCAUUAAGGAGUCUAAGCAUAUAAAUUUUAUCUUAUAACCAUUUUUGUACAAUUUAUAAUGAUUUUCUAAAAACGAAACAGAGGAUUACAGUGUCAUUCUGCACUGUCUCACACAACUUUAAAUAUCUCAUUAUCGGAAAUAAAUUUUCUUACACGGUUUCUUUUAUAAGAAACUAGACUCAUUAAUCUUUAAUUUCAUAAUUUAUUCAGCCUCCCAUUCAACUCCAACAAUUUAUGGUGAUUUUCUAAAUUCAUGUUACUGCUGCUGUCCUGAGCAGGUUUAUCACAAUUUUACUCUUUUGACAUAUCCUUUUAGCACUUCAUAAUAUCAUAUCCAUUUGGCAACAUAUCAUAUCAAUAACUUACCUAUACUUCAUAAUAGCCAUUAGGCUUAAUGCAUAAAAAUUUACAAUAGAGUUAUGAUUCUUUUAAUAUGUGCUUAACAUAUCAUACUCAAUCACAUUAUAGGCUUUAAUACUUAAAACACCUCGAUCGCUAAUGUACGUCAAUUCCGACUAUUCGACCAAUUUCUCUUUUUCCACGAUCCGACUUUGUUUCCAUAAGCUCUUGAUGCUCAAUCAACAAUUUUUAACUUCAAAUUUGCAAACAACAAUGUCAUCACUUUACAUAACAGAAAUUAAAUUUCAUUACUUAAACUAUCCAC
rnacentral:lncRNA from 1 species